rnacentral:rRNA from 1 species
GACGAACGCUGGCGGCGUGCCUAAUACAUGCAAGUAGAACGCACAGUUUAUACUGUAGCUUGCUACACCAUACACUGUGAGUUGCGAACGGGUGAGUACCGCGUAGGUAACCUGCCUUGUAGCGGGGGAUAACUAUUGGAAACGAUAGCUAAUACCGCAUAAUAUUGAUUAUUGCAUGAUAUUUGAUUGAAAGAUGCUAUUGCAUCACUACCAGAUGGACCUGCGUUGUAUUAGCUAGUAGGUGAGGUAACGGCUGACCUAGGCGACGAUACAUAGCCGAACUGAGAGGGUGAUCGGCCACCCUGGGAGUGAGACACGGCCCAUACUCCUACGGGAGGCAGCAGUAGGGAAUCUUCGGCAAUGGACGAAAGUAUGGCCGAGCAAGGCCGCGUGAGUGAAGAAGGUUUUCGGAUCGUGAAGCUCUGUUGUAAGAGAAGAACGGGUGUGGGAGUGGAAAGUUCACACUGUGACGGUAGCUUACCAGAAAGGGACGGCUAACUACGUG